UACGUAGGGUGCGAGCGUUAAUCGGAAUUACUGGGCGUAAAGCGUGCGCAGGCGGUUGUGCAAGACCGAUGUGAAAUCCCCGGGCUUAACCUGGGAAUGGCAUUGGUGACUGCACGGCUAGAGUGUGUCAGAGGGGGGUAGAAUUCCACGUGUAGCAGUGAAAUGCGUAGAGAUGUGGAGGAAUACCGAUGGCGAAGGCAGCCCCCUGGGAUAGCACUGACGCUCAUGCACGAAAGCGUGGGGAGCAAACAGG
rnacentral:rRNA from 1 species